AUGGAGGAAAACCCUUGCGGCGAGAUCAGCUCCGGCGAUGACAGCGUCGCCGAUCAAAAACCGCGCUUCGUCACGGAUGAAUCCGCUCCGGUAGGACGCCGAUCGAAGCUCCGAGUCUCCAUCAACUGCCGGACAACAAAAUCUCCCUCCUCCGCAGCCGGCGGAACCCGAGCUUCAGCGAAUCAUCCGCCGAAUCUCCGACUUCUCCUUCUCCAUCUCCCCACUCCUCGUCCUUGGCCUCAGCGUCGAUCAGUCGAAUCUUCAAAGGGAAGGCUCCGGCGACGGCGAGGGUGAGCCUCGAGAACGGCGGUAGUGGCGGCGACCCCCGCGGCGGCCGGCAAGCGUAUAGGAGCACAAGGACGGUGGUGGAGGUGCUGCGGGAGCUGGACGCGGACAUAGUGGCGCUGCAGGACGUGAAGGCGGAGGAGGAGAGGGAGAUGAAGCCGCUGUCGGAGCUCGCGGCGGCGCUGGGGAUGAGCUACGCGUUCACCGAGAGCUGGGCGCCAGAGUACGGCAACGCCGUCCUCUCCCGGUGGCCGAUCAAGCACUGGAAGGUCCAGAAGAUAUUCGACAACACCAAUUUCAGGAAUGUGCUGAAGGCGACAAUAGAAGUGCCUCAUGUUGGGGAAGAGAAUUUCCAGUGCAUCCACCUGGAUCAUCUCGACGAGAAUUGGCGAUGAAGCAGGUCGGCGCCAUCAUCCAGUCGAGUGACUCCCCCCACAUCUUGGCCGGCGGCCUCAACUCUCUUGACGAGACUGAUUACUCACAAGAGCAGUGGACUGACAUCGUCAAGUUCUAUGAGGAGAUAGGAAAACCAACCCCAAAGGUUGAAGUCAUGAGGUUUCUGAAGAGCAAGCAGUACACAGAUGCUAAGGACUUCUCUGGAGAAUGCGAGUCCAUGGUCGUCAUUGCCAAAGGACAAAGCAUGCAAGGACAUGCAAAUACGGUACAAGGGUGGACUACAUACUAG